rnacentral:rRNA from 1 species
AAUCCUGACACAGGGAGGUAGUGACAAGAAAUAACAAUACGGGGCUUAAAGUCUUGUAAUUGGAAUGAUGGGAAUUUAAACCUCUUCCAGAGUAUCAAUUGGAGGGCAAGUCUGGUGCCAGCAGCCGCGGUAAUUCCAGCUCCAAUAGCGUAUAUUAAAAUUGUUGCAGUUAAAAAGCUCGUAGUUGAAUUUCUGCUGCAUUGCUUGUGUCCCUCUUGGGUCUGUGCAUGUGGCUUUUUUCGGACGGAGUCUCUUUGUCUGAAUGUUUACUUUGAGAAAAUUAGAGUGCUCAAAGCAGGCUUUCGCCUUGAAUAGUUUAGCAUGGAAUAAUAAAGUAGGACUUUGGUUCUAUUUUGUUGGUUUUAGGUACCAAAGUAAUGGUUAAUAGGAACAGUUGGGGGCAUUCGUAUUUAACUGUCAGAGGUGAAAUUCUUAG